rnacentral:rRNA from 1 species
UUGAUCCUGGCUCAGGAUGAACGCUAGCGGCAGGCUUAAUACAUGCAAGGCGAAGGGGCAGCAAUGUCACUGUCGUACGGGUGCGUAACGCGUAUGCAACCUACCUAUCACUGGGGGAUAGCCCGGGGAAACCCGGAUUAAUACCGCAUAAAACAGGGGCACCGCAUGGUGAUAUUUGUUAAAGAUUUAUUGGUGAUAGAUGGGCAUGCGUUCGAUUAGCUAGUUGGCGGGGUAACGGCCCACCAAGGCUACGAUCGAUAGGGGAGCUGAGAGGUUGAUCCCCCACACGGGCACUGAGAUACGGGCCCGACUCCUACGGGAGGCAGCAGUAGGGAAUAUUGGGCAAUGGAUGCAAGUCUGACCCAGCCAUGCCGCGUGCCGGAUGAAGGCCCUCAGGGUUGUAAACGGCUUUUAUUCGGGAAGAAGAGCAGGGAUGCGUCCUUGUGUGACGGUACCGAAUGAAUAAGCACCGGCUAACUCCGUGCCAGCAGCCGCGGUAAUACGGAGGGUGCGAGCGUUGUCCGGAUUUAUUGGGUUUAAAGGGUGCGUAGGUGGCCUGUUAAGUCAGUGGUGAAAUACGGUUGCUCAACAAUCGAGGUGCCAUUGAUACUGACCGGCUUGAAAUAAUUGGAGGCUGCCGGAAUGGAUGGUGUAGCGGUGAAAUGCAUAGAUAUCAUCCAGAACACCGAUUGCGAAGGCAGGUGGCUACGAUUGGUUUGACACUGAGGCACGAAAGCAUGGGGAGCAAACAGGAUUAGAUACCCUGGUAGUCCAUGCUGUAAACGAUGAGGACUCGUUGUUUGGCUGCAAAGCUGAGCGACUUAGGGAAACCGUUAAGUCCUCCACCUGGGGAGUACGCCGGCAACGGUGACACUCAAAGGAAUUGACGG